rnacentral:rRNA from 1 species
CCAGCAACUUGGAGGAAUGUAUAGCAAUAGCUGAUUGCACCAACAAAUACUUGAUGCAAUAUUGACUCUGUCAAAUAAAAUUCUAGGUAGAAUUAUGAUAAUGACAUUGUCUGCCUAUAUGUCUUGACCAAAUUACGUGCCAGCAGUCGCGGUAAUACGUAGAAGACUAGUGUUAUUCAUCUUUAAUAGGUUUAAAGGGUACCUAGACGGUAAAUCAAGCCUUCACAGGGACUAAUUUACUAGAGUUACUUACGAGGGGGUAUUAAAGUACUGCAGGUGUAGAGAUGAAAUUCUGUCAUACCUCUUUUCAAAAGAAAAAUUAUGGCACAGGUAUAGGUGAAAGCAUCCCCUUAUGUGAUAACUGACGUUGAAGGACGAAGGCUUUGUGUCGCGAACAGGAUUAGAUACCCCAGUAGUCAAAGCAGAAAAUGAUGAAUGUCAUAGAUUAGAUAAAUAGUUUAUUCUAUAAAUGAAAAUGUAAGCAUUCCACCUCAAGAGUAAUUUGGCAACAUUGGAACUGAAAUCAUUAGACCGUUUCUGAAACCAGUAGUGAAGUAUGUUGUUUAAUUUGAUGAUCCGCAAAAAACCUUACCACAAUUUGAAUAUUUAUAUCUAUCUUUUUUUUCGUAAAGAAAUAAAAAGGUAAUAUAUUUACAAGCGUUGCACGGCUGUCUUCAGUUAAUGUCGCGAGACUUUGGUUAGUUCCAUUAAAUUAACGUAAACCCUUACUUUAUUUUUAUAUGAAGUAGUUCCCCGCUAUAUUGGAUAUGAUAACAGGGACUAAGACAAGUCAUCAUGG